rnacentral:tRNA from 1 species
GGGGUUGUAGCUCAGCUGGUUAGAGCGCGUCACUGAUAAUGACGAGGUCGGUGGUUCAAGUCCUCCCAACCCCACCA